UACGUAGGGGGCAAGCGUUGUCCGGAAUCAUUGGGCGUAAAGAGCGUGUAGGCGGCCCGGUAAGUCCGCUGUGAAAGUCCAGGCUCAACCCUGGGAUGCCGGUGGAUACUGUCGGGCUCGAGUCCGGAAGAGGAGUGUGGAAUUCCUGGUGUAGCGGUGAAAUGCGCAGAUAUCAGGAGGAACACCUAUGGCGAAGGCAGCUUGCUGGGACGACACUGACGCUGAGACGCGAAAGCGUGGGGAGCAAACAGG
rnacentral:rRNA from 1 species